rnacentral:rRNA from 1 species
GACGAACCGUGCGAACGUUGUUCGGAUUCACUGGGCUUAAAGGGCGCGUAGGCGGGCCAUCAAGUCAGGGGUGAAAUCUUUCGGCUCAACCGGAAAAGUGCCUUUGAUACUGGUGGUCUCGAGGGAGGUAGGGGCAUGCGGAACUUCCGGUGGAGCGGUGAAAUGCGUAGAUAUCGGAAGGAACGCCGGUGGCGAAAGCGGCGUGCUGGACCUCUUCUGACGCUGAGGCGCGAAAGCGUGGGGAGCAAACAGG